rnacentral:tRNA from 1 species
GUUGUUUGGCCGAGUGGUUAAGGCGUGCAGCUUUCCCCACAGUGAGAGUUCAAAUCUCUCUAACUACA